rnacentral:rRNA from 1 species
UACAGAGGUCUCAAGCGUUUGUUCGGAUUCAUUGGGCGUAAAGGGUGCGUAGGCGGCGCGGUAAGUCGGGUGUGAAAUCUCGGAGCUUAACUCCGAAACUGCAUUCGAUACUGCCGUGCUUGAGGACUGGAGAGGAGACUGGAAUUUACGGUGUAGCGGUGAAAUGCGUAGAUAUCGUAAGGAAGACCAGUGGCGAAGGCGGGUCUCUGGGAUGAUGCUGACGCUGAGGCGCGAAAGCCAGGGGAGCAAACGGG